GUGAUAGUACAAGGGUGUACUAUUCCCCUCCUCUCCUUCCUUUUGGGGAAUACGGCUUGCACAGUAACACAUCUGUGCAUAAAAAGAGUACUUUGGUGGUUUGGAGAUGAAGGAGAUGAUGUAGAGACAGAGGGGAAGAAGGUGGGCUUGAGAUUGAAGCGCGAAAACACAGUAAAAACAAGGUAAAAGUAAAUGGAGACAAGAGGAAGACGGGGACGAGGUAGUGCAUGGAUGGAACUAUUAACAGAAGAAUGUUAAGCUGUUUUUGCUCUACCCAUGCACUGCCUCUUCCCUGGCUCUGUCUCUCCUUUACUCCUCCCUUUUUCUUUUUCUUUUAUUGAUCUCUGUGUAUUAAAUUAUUAAUCAUACUCUGCUUUUAGAUUUUGGAACUUCCAUGAAAUUGAAAUGUAUUCAAAGUUCAAAUCCCUUCUUCUCUACACAUGUAGAAUAGAAGGUUUGGUUAGUAAUUUUAGGAGUCCAGACAAAAUUGCCUCCCACAAGUAUUGU
rnacentral:precursor_RNA from 1 species